GCAUUUUUCCCGGUAUGCCUUGUCGCCCAUUCUUUUCUUUUCAGAUGUUAGAUAAUCAAAACCUUCGGGAGAUUUUCUUACCCGAUUAUUACGGCAAGGUGUUUCUGCAGCCUGAAAACUUCCCUGUUGACCAGACAGGUAAUCAAAUGUUUGGUGACUUUUGUCAUUCAUUUCCAGUUUAGUAGUGGCUUUGUCUGGUGAAGAAUCAGAACUUCCUGGUUGAACUUGUGGGCUUUCAAGUGCUUGAUGAUUGUUAUCAUUUACUUCAAGAGCUGCUGUGCUUGGACCCGUUGAAAAUCCAGGUUGGGCCGAUAAGUAAUUGAGUGUUUGAUGAUCGUUGCCAUUAAGUUCCGUAUCAGUAUCGGCCCUGUUUUGCUCCUGAGAAUCUUCUGGUUGGGCUGAAGUGCAAUCGAUCGCGUGAUCUUCAUAGAGUCCAUCUAGUGUCAACAUGUUUGAUGCAUCUGUACGCACAGAAAAACAUUUACAAUAACAAAUUUGUUUAGAGAAAUUCAAAUGUAACAAACACUCUUUGAAGCUACAGAUACUCAAUCCAAAGUAAGACUGUACGCAGCUGCACACGACUGUGUACGCCCACACAUGGAUAUGAUACAUCAGAUUAGUGAUUCAAGAACGAGAGAGAAUUUACCCUAAGAAAGUUAGGAGAAUACAAAGUAGAAGCUGGAAUUAGAAGAUCAGAACCCAAAGAUUUGGUGACAAACUCUUUAAGGAUGAAAUUUUACUCAAUUCAAUUCCAGAUCUAAGCAAAACAAAAACAAUUUAUUUUUUUCAAAUAGUCUAUUAACAAGAACUUAAACCUUGAUUUAUCUGAAAAGACAAAUAUUACAGCUAAACCUGUUGUUUCCUAAUUAUAGUUAAAAUUAAAGUCUACUGACUUCGCAUGUAUCUUACCGAAUAGCUUCCGCCAAAAACUGCCAACUUCCAUUGCAGGCAGCUGACAAGGGCAAGCGAAAGGAUGAUUGACUUUGCUUAACUUCUUUCUUGGAUUCAAAAGUGCAGAAGUAUAAAAAGAGGAAGGAGAGAAGACAGAAGACACUACGAAGUAAGAAUAAAGAACGACACGUGGGAAGACAAAAUAAACUGUAUAAAAGACUCGGUGCUUGCUUCUCACGUAAAUCCGCACUCAAAUCGCACGAAAUAAGUCCGAACCUCGCGUCUAUAAUCCAAAUAGGAUGACAUUGAUCGCGCUAUAUGCGCUCUUUAUUAAAGACACCGUGCAGGGUUGCGCUCUUUAUUAAAGACACCGUGUGGGGUUGUACACUUUUCAUCAAAUUUUUUAAUUUUGUUUAAAUUAUUUUUAUGUGUUAAUUUUAAAAUAAAAAAAUAUUAUUUUGAUAUAUUUUUUGAAUAACUUUUUUUUUUAAAUAAUCUUUAUCACAUUCUCAAACACUCGAGUGGAAAAAACAUUGUUCAUCAACAUCUACAUCCACAAAAUAGUAAUUCUUCGAUUUUUUUUAAUUUAAUUUUUUAAUUUUUAAAUCCUCUUUUAUUUAGUCCUUAAUUUUUAAAUUAUUUUUUUUUCUUGAUUUUUUUAUUUUAUUCUUCAACAUUUAAUUGAUUAAAAAUUAAAUUUUAAUAAAAAUUGGGGGAACAACACCAUUACAAUAAUAAUCUACAAUGUUUUUUUCUUUUUUAUUUUUAUUUUGAUUAUUUUUUUAAUGUAUCAGCAUCGAGUUGGUGCUAAAUUUCACAAAAACAAAAGAAUUCAAUUUUAUUAUUUGUUUGAAAUUAAAAACCAAGGGACCAAAAUUAAAAAAGAGAAAAAAUAGCAGCCCUUUGUUGCUUUUUUUUUUCUUUAUGAAUGGGUGCUUUCAAGUUCGGUGCUCUAAUUUUUUUUUAAUUUUUUCAGUCAUCUUUUUUUUUAUUUCAAUUUUAUUAUUCAUUGUUAUGUUGAUUAGGAUUUUUAUUGAUAAUUUUUUUUUAUUAUUAUUUAUCUAUGUAUUAAAUAAUUGUUUCAACAUCCGGUUAGUUAUCGACUUUGUGAGGUAUUGUUGAGAUUCUUCAUUUUUCUAAAGAUUAAGAGUAAGAAGCCUAAAUUGAAGAACAACAAAACAACGAAUCCUGGAUAGAUGAAUAGCACAAGACAGUCAUGAAAACCGAGGUAUUAAGAAAGAGAAGGUAAGAAAUAAAGAAUGGUUUGGCAGUCAUAUUGGACCUCCUCUUACAACACCCUCCGCAUUUUAGGGGACGUAAUGAUAAUUCCAACAACAACAAAAAAAUAAAAAUAAAUAAAUAAAUAAUGACAUCAAUUGGAUCAUGGUGAAAUGCUCAUCCACCGCCCAAAGGCUACAGGCCUUUCUCACACCUUGCCGCGUGUUUAGCAUAAGCCAAGCACUUCUAUGUUCUUCUUUCAGUUACGACCUUGACAUCACGACCCUUGAAAUCAUAGUUAUCAAAUCUAAUCCUGGCAUUAAUUUAAGUUAAGAAAUUGAGUUUUAGAUUUUACCUGUCAAUUCAGAAAAAUUAAAAAAUACAUUUAAAGUUUUAAUAUUUUAUAUAAAAAAAUUUAAAAAUAAUUUAUGUAAAUAUAGAUUAUAUAUUAGAAAUAAUUAAGUUUAAAAAAAUAUAUUUUUUAAAAAAAAGUAUCUCACAUUAAAAUAAUAUUAUAUAUUUAAUAUGAAUACAUUAAAACAAUUAUUUUUAAACUAAGAUUUUGUAAAAAUACACUCCAAUCGCACGGAUAAGUACGCUAUUAGUCUAGAUGGAUUGCCGGCGGCGAAAAGGCCGAAACCCUUGGUCCUCGACGAUUUCUUUUUAUGGUCAAUGCAUAUUGAGGGUUUGUUGGUGAAUAGUUUCAUAGUUUCUGAUGAAUAGCAUCUGAACUGGACGGCUGAAUGCAUAUCGAGGGUUUGUUGGUGAGAUGUGGUUGUGAGGAAUCAUGGGCGAGCUGAUUUCUUUGUAAAAUGAAGGCAGUAUCAAUAAUUGAGGAGUGUCUGUUUGGCACUGCGGUGCAACUUGUUUUUUGUAUAAUUUUAAAAAGAAAAUUUUGUUAAAAUUGAGUUUGUUUGUAUUUUCUGUAUCGUUUUGAUGUGCUGAUAUCAAAAAUGAUUUUUUAAAAAUAAAAAAAUAUUAUUGACAUAUUUUUCGACAUAAAAAACUAUUUAAAAAACAACAGUUAUCACACUUCCAAACACCCAAGUACACAAAGCGCUGCAUUGUUUGACGAGGUCACUGCGGUACCAUGUGAAACACAACCCUUUUAACCUGUUGUUGAGGACUUGGUUUUAUUGGCCCAUAAAUUUUUAUAAAUCUUGUCGGUGGAUAGUAGAUAAAUUUUAAAAAAUCUUAUCUAAAAAAAAUUAUAAAUAGGCUAAUUUUAAGAAAAUAUGGGACUUUUGUUUUCUAUCUAUAAGAAAAAGGACGAGCACCCUUAAUUUUUUCCCCAACCCCAUUUAUCAAUUACAAUAACUUCAGAUGGAGUAUUCUUACAAUUUGUAAUGGGGUCAUCCUCAAAUUAAAACUCAAAUUCAAAUUAAAAAAAAAAAAAAAACCUGAUCCCAUUUUUUUUCAUAAAUAAAUAAAUUUACGAGAAAUCAAAUUACCAAAAGCAUCCUCCAUUUUUCACAACUGGUUCUAACCCCUAAUCACCACAUCAGCAAAUUGAUGUCCCUUUUAGAAGAAAUUGCCUCUCAAUAUCCUGCAUGAACACACAAGCACAGUCAUCAGUAUGAGCCCUCAGUGAAAAAUCUUGAGGCCAACUGUUCUCUGUUGUGAAUGGCUACUGUAAGAACUACUUCAAGAAACAUACAUAUAUUAUUGAAUUCCAUGUUUUUCCAACAUUUCAUAACUCCUCCUGGGAUAAGUCAUAGGCUAUAAAUAUGGCUAAUAAACUUAUUUCUACCUCAUGUACGCAUUCAACUUACGAAUUUCUCUACUAUCAAGUUAUCAUGCUUUUCUUAGUAUUAAACUUCCUAUCACACCUAAUUCACUCAUCAUUAACAUAUAAAAUCUCAAAUCUUACUUUACCCCAGUUUAACCUAGUUCGCUGAUUUGGUGAGUUAAACUUUUUUCUUGAAUUACUUUUUUCAACUUUAUUUUUUAAAAUUAGGUUGGUUGAUAAUUGCAAUUUAAUUUUUUUUUUAUAUAUAAAAUUAUUGUGGUCUUAAACAAACAUCAAAUAUUAGGUUGGUGCUUGAUUUUGUGAUAAUUUAUUUUUGUUGUUGUAUAGUUAAAUAAAGAAAAGUUUCAUGAAAAAAUCAAGUUAUUAAUUCCAAUGAAGUCCAACUUUCGUUUGCUAGGUUUACUCACCAAGUCUGAUAUGCUUUUUUUUUCUUUUGAUUUUUUUUAUUAUAUCCUUCAAUAUUGAAUUGAUUAGGAAACAAGCUUCAUUAUUUAUCUAGGUUUAUUUUAUGUUAGGUUAUUGCAGUUUCAAACAAACUUCUUGAUAUUGUGUUAGUGCUUGAUUUUGCAAACAAGUAUUUUUUAUAAUUAAAUAAAAAUAAUUUAAAAAAAUUAAGUUAUUAAACCCAAUAAAAUUUAUGAUCCGAGAACUAGAUUGACCGAGGUCGAUUCCAUAUCUAAUCCUCUUAAUAUUUUAAAGAAGAAUUUUCAUCUUGAAUUUUUUUACCUAGUACAAGUCAUGUUUUCACCGGUUGUUGCACGUCCUCGCGUGGAAUCCAAAGCAAAAAAAAUUUGUUGCUUAAUUAAUCUUUAAAAGUCAUCACUUAAUAUUUGAUUCAGGAUCACUAUAAAAUCCAAGUGUUCUGGUCUUAUCAGAUAUUCAAAAGUAAAAAAAUGAUUGUAAUUAAAAAACAUAUUAGCACCCCUAACACGCUUUAUCUAAGAUAAAUUGUUUUGUAAUUUGAUAUAACUUGAAAGGUUUGACAAUUUAUCUUGAUCCUAGCCUAUUAAAAAAAAAUAUCCUAGAUAAAAAGAUCCUUAAAAAUCUAACAAUUCUAACAUCAAUAAAACAAAUCAAACUCUUUAUUUUUUUUAACAUAAACACAUCUUAUAAAUAAGAUCAAAAUCCUUCAUCGUGUGCAAAUCAAAUCAUUAAAUUCUUUCUUCUUGUAUUUUUAAUUUUAUAAUUCUAAAAUAUUUAUAACAUAAAAUACAUAUACAAAUCCCUUUUCAUUAUAUUUUUCUCACACCCCCACAUUUACAUGUUACAAAAUAAUAAAAAUCAAAUAACACAAUAAACAAAUCAAAAAUUAUAAAAUAAACCCCAAGAAAUCAGUAAUUGCUGGGAAAACUUUAGGAACUGCAGGAACAGUGGUAGCGUGUUUGUUCCAUGCGCCACCAUUUCAGGUAGCUGGUGGGAAGGCCAAAAGUUGUCGGCGGCUGGGCUUCUAUCGCGUCUAAUCGGCGGCAAUGGAGGAGAAAGGAGUGUUGUCUUGUCGUUGGUUUUGGUUGGAAAUAGGGCUAGAUUUGUGGGCGUUGUUGUGUGUUGGCUGCUGCGGGAGGCUGGUUGCAAAAGAUGAAGAAGAGAGUGUUGCCCGGGCACUGCUGUGGGUGGGCUGCUGGCCCUCUGGUGAAGACGCUGCUGCUACGGUUGGCGGUGAAAACCGGCUGAGAGUAGAGUCAAGGGCUAUCUUUGCUAGUCUGUGGAGGAAAGCAAGAUAGAUCGGGGUUUGUUGUGGGGAGGUUGCAGCAAGGAAGGAAAUGCAGGGGAUGGUCGUCUCGUGGCUGAGAGAGGGGGGAGGUCUGUGGAGCUGUUCUGGGGUUAUGGAGGGGCACUAGAAGUUAAUGGGAAGGGCGAGUGAGGGGGUGUCUUGUGGUUGAGAAAGGAUAGGGACGAUGGAGAGGUUGGAGUAGAGCUGGGGAACUGGUGGGUGUUGGUGUGGCAACUGCUUUUGCCAUGGGAAAGGGAAUGCUUUGGCUGGUUCUUGGAGAAAACAAAUCAAGGAAGAUGGGGGGCGGCAGCUUGUUUUGAAAGAGAAAGAUUUAGGGUUUCCUCUUCUUCUUUUUUUACUCUCAAAAUUGGCCCCUCACCCUUUCUGAAUCUGUUUCCUACCCGGGGCUGGUUUUUUUCGUCCCUAUUUAUAUUUUUUUUUUCAAAUGCUCAAUAAAACAUCUGUAUUUGAUUUAUUUUUUUCCUUGAAAACAAGCAAUAUUAUCAUUGUUUCAAUGAGAAAAACAAAUAAUUUUUAAAAUAAUACAUUAAAAAUUAACCACAUUUAAAAAACCUUUAAAAUUUAAAAAUUUUUUGAGAUAAUAUUGAAAAUGCUAAAAAUAAUACAAGUUUAUCAAGAACAUAUAUUUUUUGAGUUUUUUGUUUUGUUUUGUUUUUUUUUUUGGAUUUUUCAAAAACUUAUCAAAGAUAUGGGUCAAAAACUAGUUAGUAACACUGGUUAUCCAAGUUAAUUUUAGAUCAAUUAAUUUUUUAUAUAUUGAUAUUAAAAAUAAAUUUUAAAAAAUAUUAUACAUUUCCGUCACAGUAAACACUCCCUUAGUGAAUCAAAGUUCCGUAACCGAGACAAAUACUAUUAAGUAUAUAUAUUAGUAGUACAGUACUUUAUCGUGUAUGUUCCUCUUCAUGGUUCUUGUCAUUGUUUAUCUUCAUGCAUAAAGCUUCAACAGUCAUUUUGAACACAAUGUUUUCACGUCGUAGUUGUUCAUUUCUUCCUUGAAGCUGAAGUAUAAUUGAGUUGUCCUGAUUGUUAGCACAGCUCGUUAAUUGAUCCAUUUGAGAUUUUAGAAGAGUAUUUUCACGUUGAAGAUCUAUAAUUUGGGACUGGACCUGCAAAAUAGAAUGAAGAUAACAGUGAGAUAUAGAUGAAUCAAUUAAAUUAAGAAAUGAAAGAGAGGGAAACGUACUAGUUGCUUUGUGAGAGCCUCCACAACAAUAUUUUGUGUAUUAAGGCUGUCUUCCAAUCGACGAACUUCUUGCUGAAGAUGCUUGUUCUCUUCUUCUUGAGACUUUAAAGCAAGAUAAUUCCUAACACAUUCUUCAUUUAAACGAUUAUUUUCUGUCUUUAGACGAUUAUUUUCUGCCUUGGUAUUUUCUCUGUCUUCCUGAAGAAAGUAAAUAUUAGCACGUAAAAUGAAAGGAAGAAGACAAAUUGAGCAAGGCAAGAUAAGCAAAUAACAUUAAUGUCUGGGGGAGAGGUAAUUGGUCUUACCUUGCAUUUUUCCCGGUAUGCCUUGUCGCCCAUUCUUUUCUUUUCAGAUGUUAGAUACUCAAAACCUUCGGGAGAUUUUCUUACCCGAUUAUUACGGCAAGGUGUUUCUGCAGCCUGACAACUUCCCUGUUGACCAGACAGGUAAUCAAAUGUUUGGUGACUUUUGUCAUUCAUUUCCAGUUUAGUAGUGGCUUUGUCUGGUGAAGAAUCAGAACUUCCUGGUUGAACUUGUGG
rnacentral:lncRNA from 1 species